GACGAACGCUGGCGGCGUGCUUAACACAUGCAAGUCGAACGGAAAGGCCCUGCUUUUGUGGGGUGCUCGAGUGGCGAACGGGGGAGUAACACGUGAGUAACCUGCCCUUGACUUUGGGAUAACUUCACGGAACUCGGGCUCAUACCGGAUAGGAGCUUCUGCUGCGUGGGGGGGGUUGGAAAAUUUCGGCGUUGGGGUCUGGACUAGCGGGUUAUCCGCUGGUUUGUGGGGUAGUGGCUGUCCAAGGCUUUGACGGGUAGGCGGCCUAAGAGGGUGACCGGCCACCUUGGUACUGCGGUACGGCCCAGACUCCUACGUGCGGCAGAAGUCGGGAAUAUUGCACAAUGGGCCGAAGUCUGAUGCAGCAGCCCUGCGUGCGGGAUGCCGGCCUUCGGGUUGUAAACCGCUUUCGCCUGUGCCGAAGCGUGAGUGACGGUAAUGGGUAAAGAAGCACCGGCUAACUACGUG
rnacentral:rRNA from 1 species